GACGUAGGAGGCGAGCGUUGUCCGGAUUCAUUGGGCGUAAAGAGCGCGCAGGCGGCUUGGUAAGUCGGAUGUGAAAACCCGAGGCUCAACCUCGGGCGUGCAUCCGAAACUGCUCGGCUAGAGGUAGGUAGGGGAGAUCGGAAUUCCUGGUGUAGCGGUGAAAUGCGCAGAUAUCAGGAGGAACACCGGUGGCGAAGGCGGAUCUCUGGGCCUUACCUGACGCUCAGGCGCGAAAGCUAGGGGAGCAAACAGG
rnacentral:rRNA from 1 species